GACGAACCUGACAAACGUUAUUCGGAAUUACUGGGCUUAAAGGGUGCGUAGGCGGCGUGGCAAGUUGGGUGUGAAAUCCCUCGGCUCAACCGAGGAACUGCGCUCAAUACUGCCAUGCUCGAGGGAGACAGAGGUGAGCGGAACUUAGGGUGGAGCGGUGAAAUGCGUUGAUAUCCUAAGGAACACCGGUGGCGAAGGCGGCUUCCUGGACCGAUACUGACGCUGAGGCGCGAAAGCUAGGGGAGCAAACGGG
rnacentral:rRNA from 1 species